CGCUGGCGGCAUGCCUUACACAUGCAAGUCGAACGGCAGCACGGGAGCAAUCCUGGUGGCGAGUGGCGAACGGGUGAGUAAUAUAUCGGAACGUGCCCAGUCGUGGGGGAUAACGCAGCGAAAGCUGUGCUAAUACCGCAUACGAUCUCUGGAUGAAAGCGGGGGACUCGCAAGAGCCUCGCGCGAUUGGAGCGGCCGAUAUCAGAUUAGCUAGUUGGCGGGGUAAAGGCCCACCAAGGCGACGAUCUGUAGCUGGUCUGAGAGGACGACCAGCCACACUGGAACUGAGACACGGUCCAGACUCCUACGGGAGGCAGCAGUGGGGAAUUUUGGACAAUGGGCGAAAGCCUGAUCCAGCAAUGCCGCGUGCAGGACGAAGGCCUUCGGGUUGUAAACUGCUUUUGUACGGAACGAAACGGUCUCUCUUAAUACGGGGGGCUAAUGACGGUACCGUAAGAAUAAGCACCGGCUAACUACGUGCCAGCAGCCGCGGUAAUACGUAGGGUGCGAACGUUAAUCGGAAUUACUGGGCGUAAAGCGUGCGCAGGCGGUUGUGUAAGUCUGUCGUGAAAUCCCCGGGCUCAACCUGGGAAUUGCGAUGGAGACUGCACGGCUAGAAUCUGGCAGAGGGGGGUAGAAUUCCACGUGUAGCAGUGAAAUGCGUAGAGAUGUGGAGGAACACCGAUGGCGAAGGCAGCCCCCUGGGUCAAGAUUGACGCUCAUGCACGAAAGCGUGGGGA
rnacentral:rRNA from 1 species